GCUAGGGUGAAGGAGUUUGAAGAUCUGUGCUGAACAGCAGGUCUCCUACAGGACCGGAAGUAGUUGAAGGAGCGACGGGAGCUGUGGAACCUAUGGCAGUGGAUGCCCCGCAGCCUGUAGAGAUUCAGAAUGUCGUUCACCAGUUGAAGGAUACUGAUACACUGAUUUGUGACGAAGGUGGAUUUUGUGGCAUUUAUUUCGCAGGUGAUUAAUUGUCCUGCCCAAACGAACAAGACGUUUAAGAAACUGGAUAUAAUUGUAUGUGCGGCUGAAAGGUUUUUGUAAUUAACUGCCGAAGCAUUGCAGGGAAUGAAGACAUUCCCCACUCUCGGGCCCCUGAGACUGUAGGGGUGUGUGUAGGGGUGUGAUUUGGACUGUGACAGAAGGAGUGAGAGGGUUUUUUGAUUGAUCCAUUUUCGUAUUUUGUCUGAUGUCGUUUUACCCGCUUUUCUGGAAUGGACAUGACUUUUCCCCCCGCAGUUCACUAACUGUACAGUAGGUGGACACAUACACAUUACAUUUGUGUGAAUGAAACAGGAACUUCCGGGCAAGCGCACGCCAUUCUUCAGAAUAAAGAAAGCGUCAGAACUCUUGAUGUUAAUAUGAUACCUUUUGUCUCCGUUUUAAAUGUAUGGCUACAGGCUGACUCCGAUCAAGUCUGAGGCCGGUAACAUCAACGGUGAGGACAAUCCCAGCCUGCCUCUCUCCUUCCACACCUACAGUCACUGGGUCCUGAUUGUGACUGUGGAGCCCAGUUUGCAUUGCAGGAUCCAGAGAUGGCAUCAGUGAAGCUGGAAGACUGCAGUCAAACACUGGAACUGAAUGUCAACAUUAAAGAUGAAGAAGAAGAGGAGGAGGAGGAGAAGAUUAGGACAACUGUUAGUCAUGAUGUAUCGAACUAACCACGCUGCAUUUUGGUCCGACU